AACAACGCUGGCGGCAUGCCUAACACAUGCAAGUCGAACGAACUCUUCGGAGUUAGUGGCGCACGGGUGCGUAACGCGCGGGAAUCUGCCCUUGGGUACGGAAUAACUCAGAGAAAUUUGUGCUAAUACCGUAUAAUGUCUUCGGACCAAAGAUUUAUCGCCCAAGGAUGAGCCCGCGUAAGAUUAGCUAGUUGGUGAGGUAAAAGCUCACCAAGGCGACGAUCUUUAGCUGGUCUGAGAGGAUGAUCAGCCACACUGGGACUGAGACACGGCUCAGACUCCUACGGGAGGCAGCAGUUGGGAAUAUUGGACAAUGGGCGAAAGCCUGAUCCAGCAAUGCCGCGUGAGUGAUGAAGGCCUUAGGGUUGUAAAGCUCUUUUACCCGGGAUGAUAAUGACAGUACCGGGAGAAUAAGCUCCGGCUAACUCCGUG
rnacentral:rRNA from 1 species